GAAAGCCGUAUGAGGGAAAACCUCACGUACGGAUUGGUCGAUGAGGUGAGUCCGGUGAGGCGUAAGUUAUUGCUUCGCAUAGGGUUUACUUUAAUCGAAC
rnacentral:ncRNA from 1 species